UACGAAGGGUGCAAGCGUUAAUCGGAAUUACUGGGCGUAAAGAGCGCGCAGGCGGCUGGUCAAGUCCGAUGUGAAAGCUCCCGGCUUAACUGGGAAAUUGCAUCGGAAACUGAUCGGCUUGAAGGUGGGAGAGGGUAGUGGAAUUCCCGGAGUAGUGGUGAAAUGCGUAGAGAUCGGGAGGAACACCGGUGGCGAAGGCGGCCAGCUGGCGCUGACCUGACGCUGAGGCGCGAAGGCAUGGGGAGCGAACGGG
rnacentral:rRNA from 1 species